CUGGCUCAGAACGAACGCUGGUGGCGUGUCUAUACAUGCAAGUCGAGCGAGGCAGCAAUGCCGAGCGGCGAACGGGUGAGUAACGCGUAAGCAAUCUGCCCCAUAUCAGGGAAAUACCCGUGCCAACGCGCGGUUAAUGUCCAGGAGAGUGGCCUUCCGCAUGGAGGGUUGACUAGAGAUUUAUCGGUAUGGGAUGAGCUUGCGUCCGAUUAGCUAGUUGGCGGGGCAACGGCCCACCAAGGCGACGAUCGGUAGCCGGCCUGAGAGGGUGAUCGGCCACAUUGGGACUGAGAUACGGCCCAGACUCCUACGGGAGGCAGCAGUAGGGAAUAUUGCACAAUGGGGGAAACCCUGAUGCAGCAACGCCACGUGUGGGAAGAAGCAUUUCGGUGUGUAAACCACUGUCAUGAGGAAUAGGCCGCUCGAGGACUUGAUGUACCUUGAGAGGAAGCACCGGCAAACUUCGUGCCAGCAGCGGC
rnacentral:rRNA from 1 species